rnacentral:rRNA from 1 species
CUGGCUCAGGAUGAACGCUGGCGGCGUGCCUAACACAUGCAAGUCGAACGAGAAGCACCUUCGGGUGUGGAGAGUGGCGCACGGGUGAGUAACACGUAGUUGAUCUGCCUCAGAGAUGAGAAUAACUCACAGAAACGUGGGCUAAUGCUCAAUAAGCUCCCAUGCUUUAAAGGGAUGGGAGAAAAGCUCCGGCGCUUUGAGAUGAGACUGCGGGCCAUCAGCUAGAUGGUAGGGUAAUGGCCUACCAUGGCAACGACGGCUAGGGGACCUGAGAGGGUGACCCCCCACACUGGAACUGAGACACGGUCCAGACUUCUACGGAAGGCAGCAGUGAGGAAUCUUGCACAAUGGGCGAAAGCCUGAUGCAGCGACGCCGCGUGGGUGAAGACGGGUUUCGGCCUGUAAAGCCCUUUUCUGUGUGACGAGAGUGGACGGUAGCACAGGAAUAGGUCUCGGCUAACUACGUGCCAGCAGCCGCGGUAAAACGUAGGAGGCAAGCGUUAUCCGGAGUUACUGGGCGUAAAGCGCGUGCAGGCGGGUCGGUCAGUGAGUUAUGAAAGCCCUCGGCUAAACUGGGGGAGGUUGACUCAGACUGCCGAUCUAGAGUGGAGAAGAGGAAGGUAGAAUUCCGCGUGUAGUGGUGAAAUGCGUAGAUAUGCGGAAGAAUACCAGUGGCGAAGGCGGCCUUCUGGUCUCCAACUGACGCUCAGACGCGAAAGCAUGGGUAGCGAACGGGAUUAGAAACCCCGGUAGUCCAUGCCGUAAACGAUGCACACUAAACGUUCGAAGUCCGAAAGGGCUUUGAGUGUUGAAGCAAACGCGAUAAGUGUGCCGCCUGGGGAGUACGAUCGCAAGAUUAAAACUCAAAGGAAUUGACGGGGGCCCGCACAAGCAGCGGAGCGUGUGGUUUAAUUCGAGGAUACGCGAAGAACCUUACCCGGGUUUGACAUCAUGGUAGUAGGUUGCAGAGAUGUAGCCGACCUUCGGGAGCCGUGACAGGUGCUGCAUGGUUGUCGUCAGCUCGUGCCGUGAGGUGUUCGGUUAAGUCCGCAAACGAGCGCAACCCUUAUCGUUAGUUACAAGUGUCUAGCGAGACUGCCCGUGACAAACGGGAGGAAGGUGGGGAUGACGUCAAAUCAGCAUGGCCUUUAUAUCCGGGGCGACACACACGCUACAAUGGUAUGGACAAUGGGUCGCGAAGCCGCGAGGUGGAGCCAAUCCCGCAAACCAUAUCUCAGUUCGGAUUGUAGGCUGCAACUCGCCUGCAUGAAGUCGGAGUUGCUAGUAACCGUGUAUCAGCACGGCACGGUGAAUACGUUCCCGGGCCUUGUACACACCGCCCGUCACGUCAUGGGAGUUGAUUACGCCUGAAGUCGGGAAGCCAACCGAAAGGGAGCUACCGCCGAAGGCGGAGUCGAUGACUGGGACGAAGUC